GGCCAGAGGAAAAAAAAGAAGCUGUCGGAGUACUUAACUUAUUGUUUUGCAUUUCCUAUACAUAUCUCACGAUACGGUUCGAUCGACUUCCAAGAGACGAGGUGUGUGUUGUGCUCCGGGAAUCCCACACACUCAUAUAUGAGGAAAAAUUCCGCUUGUAUUAAUCGAAUCAAAUACAAACUUGAAAAACCCUCCCCUCACUCUGGUUCUCUCUCUCUCUUAGUUUCCCUAUACACAUAUAUGUACAGGAGGAAGACGGGAGUAAACACAUGGGGGUAGUUGCCGACACUGUCACUGCCUACAAUAGCUCGAGGACAAAUGAUCGAUCGUCUACAUCUGGUUCCUUAACCACUUGGGAGGACUAUGCUGACUAAGUCAACAGUGUGUUGCCUUUGAUGCGAAAGGCAAAUUGAAAGACGGGAAACUGCAAGAAAAAGAACAAAUUAAGAAGAGAGAUAAAAUGAAUGUUGUGGACCAGAUUGUGGGUAAAAUCUCAGAAGUAGCCAUCACAAAGUGUUUCUGUCACAUCGGCUAUCUAUAUCACUACAACGAUAACGUUCAAAAUCUAGAAGCCGAGACCGAAGGACUUGAAGUUGUGCUGGGAAGUAUCAAUAAUCGGGCAGAGAGAGACCUACGCAAUGCACAAGUCAUCAAGCCUGAUGUUGUAAAGUGGCAAAAGGAUGCAGCGGAGAUGCUACGUGAAGUCCACACAUUUCUAGCAAACAGAGAAAGAUCAAACACUAAAUGUCUCAAUUUUUUGUGUCCGAAUCUAAAGUGGCGUUACCGUCUAGGCAAGGAGUCCAAACGGAAGACAGCUGUUGUUAUUAGUCUCAAAGGGCGUGGCACCAUGUUUCAGCCAGUAUUGUCAAUGUCAUACCCGGCACCUACACCAGAGUCCCCUCUCACAAAUCACGACGAUUUUGAUUCAAGACAAGAGAUCUAUAAGAGGAUAUUGGAGGCGCUAAAGGAUCCUACCAUUAAGAUGUUUGGCGUGCAUGGUGCAGGAGGUGUUGGCAAGACGAGAAUGGUGAAAGAGGUUCGCAGUCAAUUGAAGAGAGAUGGGCUUUUUGAUGAUGUGGCUAUUGCGGUUGUCUCUCGAAAUCUGGAUGUUAAAAAGGUUCAAGGAGAGCUUGCAGCACAAUUGGGACUAAAACUGGAUGACCGCGGAAGAGAAGAUAGACUAUUAUUGACUAGACUGCAGAAUGGGAAGAAGAACCUUGUAAUACUGGACGACGUUUGGAAUCCAAUUGACUUGGAGGAAAUUGGAAUUCCUACUUCAAUAGACGAAGGCAACAAGGACGGUUGCUGCAAAGUUCUGGUAACAUCCCGGAAGAACCUUUUCCACAUGAUCACACCAAAAGCAUCGACCAGAGUGUUUUUAAUCCCAAUUUUAAAAGAGAUGGAAGCACGGACCCUAUUUAUGAAGACAGCAGAAAUUUCAGUCAACUCUGAGGAAGAAAUGUCUUCUGUAGAAAAAGCGGUGUGUGACGAAUGUGCAGGCUUGCCUGUUGCUAUUCUUGCUGUUGCAAAAGCAUUGCAAGGUAAAGAGAGCUACGCGUGGCAAGAUGCACUCACGCAACUGAAAAGCUGUAAUUUUAACCAGAUCGUAGACAUAGACCCAAAUUUGUUCUCUUCCUUGAAAUUCAGCUAUGAUUAUCUAGAACCAAGGGAUGCACGUUCAUGCUUCCUGCUUUGCUCUCUAUUUCCAGAAGAUGCUGAGAUUUCAAUUGACGAUUUGGUGAGAUAUAGCUCUGGGAUGAGGUUGCUUGGUGCAAUUCACAGUACCUCGCUUGAAGACGUAAGAAACAGAGUACUUACAUUGGUUACAUGCCUCAAGGCAUCUUGUUUGCUGUUAGACGGUGAGGACAACAACACAGUGAAAAUGCACGAUGUAAUACGAGAUGUUGCUAUUAUAAUAGCAAAAGAUGAGAAGGGAUAUCUCGUGAAACAUGAUCUCAAAAAGUGGCCAGAGGGAGGCACUUAUGAAGGUUAUUCGGCCAUCUCAUUGAUGUCUGAAUAUUUUUGUGAGAUUCCAAGAGAAUUGGGAUGUAAAGAACUUCGUACGUUGGUGUUGAGAAGCAAGGAUUCCUCACUUCCAGACAGCUUUUUCAAUGGGAUGGAGACCAAUCUCAAAGUCCUCGAUCUUAGCGGCACGGCUAUUGAAAGCCUCCCAAUCUCACUUUCAAAGUUGGUUAAGCUGCGGAUGUUAUUUCUCCCAGGUGGAAUCAGAAACAUAUCUCUAUUGGGGGAGUUAAAGAGCCUCGAAAUACUCUGCUUUGAUGGGAUUUACGAGCUGGCACCACAGAUUAGACAGUUAACUUCUUUGAAGUUGCUAGAUUUGGGAAAUGCUGUGUUGAGAAGACUGAGUGUAAUUCCUCCAAAUGUCUUAUCUAAUUUGACAAGGAUGGAGGAAUUAUGCAUUCCAGAUUACUUUGCUGAGUGGCAAGACGAAGCAACCAACGUAGAAAGAAAGAACGCAAGCCUGGUUGAACUGAACUCGUUAACUUGUUUAACCACUCUAAAAGUUCGUAUACCACAAGGCAAAUCAUCACCCAACAACCUCUGCUUUGAAAAUCUUGUCAGAUUUAGAAUAUCGUUUGGCAAACAUUUUUAUCUCAUUGAAGAACCAGGAUCAUCCACAAGUAUCUUAGAACUCUCUAGUGUUCCCUUAGAAGACAAGUUCAAAGUUUUGCUUAUGAAAUCUGAAGUGUUAUAUCUCCAUGAAGUGACGUGUGAUGGUGGUGAAGAUCAUCUUGGAACACUAGAGCAGUUUUCGAGUAUAUCAAGGCCUUUCUGCAACUUAAGUACAUUAUAUGUUCAGAAUUGUACGUUUAAAUAUCUCUUCAACCUCUCCGUUGCGAGACGCCUAGAGCAACUCCAAAGGCUUGUUGUCGAGGACUGUUCUAAUAUGGAAGUCAUUGUUGGAAACGAAACACGAGGAGAAGAUGAAGAAUUUACUUUUCCUCGGUUAAAAGCAAUCAAAUUGCGGAACAUACCGAACCUCAAAAGCUUCUGUCCAAGUAAGAGGCCUAACUCGAUAACAGGGGAUAGCAAUUCUGACCCUGCACAACCACUUUUUUGUGAAAAGGUUGUGGUCCCUGUGUUGGAGGAAUUAGAAAUUAAUGGUUUGGAUAACAUAUCAGAGAUAUGGGACAAACAAUUUAAACCAAUAAUGAAAGAAGGGACACGAUCCUUCAGUCAGUUAUGGUCCCUGCGAGUGAAUCAGUGUCCCAGACUCGUGAAUGUGGUUCCCUUUAAUAUAGUGCCAAGGUUAACGAAUCUGAAAUACCUUUUUGUCAGCAAUUGUAAUUUGGUGGUUCAUGAAAUUGAAGACCAAAUAACAGCGGGCUUGCCUUCAUUAGAAAGUUUAGCUUUAUAUGAUCUACAGAACUUGAGGGAGACGGGAUUGAACAAGAAGGAAGAUUCUCUCCGUGGAUUUAAUGUUGUCUACCCAAACAUAAACAGUAUUCAUAUUGGCGCCUGUCCCAAUCUAGAAAGUAUGUUCUCAGCCUCAACAGCCAGAAACCUAGCUCAUCUCCGAAGCUUGAUGAUAAAUAAUCUUUCCGAUUCAGAUUCAACACAGAAGGCAAUAGUAGAGACUCCAAAACAAAGAGAUGGAGCGAGCGAUGAGCCUUUUGUCUUCCCUGAACUGGAUCAUAUGCAACUUAUGGGUCCCCAAAGUUUCUGCAACAGUUAUGGACCCGAAGAAUCCCUCUUCAACCAAAAGGUGGUGUUUCCUUGCUUGCAAUAUUUAGUCAUUUCGAGGUUUAGAGGCAACGUUAAAGGAAUAUGGGAUAGGACACCACCAGCCGACUCUUUCCAAAAACUAACAUUUCUCAAUUUGUAUGGAUGUGAUAGCUUAUUGUAUGUUGCUCCAUCAGAACUACUACUCGGGAGUCUGCAGAACCUCCAAACCCUCAUAAUAACAUCAUGUGAGUUACUGGAAGAGGUAUUCAAAAACAGAGUAUCAGAUUCCGGGGAAGGAAUAGUUUCAAAACAUGAAUCAUUGUAUGUUGAUACCAAUGUUGUGCUGCCACGAUUAAGAUCAGUUCAUCUAUCUGAUUUACCACGUCUUAAAAGCUUUUGCUCUGGGAGCAAAUUGCCAUCCUCAGUACAAAGAGAGAUAAGCAACUGCCCCCUUUUGGAGACUCCCUUCUGAGACUACAAAAGCGGGAAAAUGUCCCUCGCGAAUAAAGAGGUGAUUCAAUAUCGUGCUCUACGCCAGCCAUGUUUGUUUCGCCUUUCUGGAAGUUCAUCAUCAAUGAAGGUUCAAUCCGAUAACAUGCCCAAUCAUCCAUUUGGUUAGUAAAUAACGAAUAAUGUGUGCACUUGUGUGUAAUUACGGCAAUAUGACCCGUAAAACUGUAUUGAUUGCUCUGUAUAUUCUUCAGUGUGUAUUUGUUUGUUUAAUUAUGCAAACACUUGUGAGUGUCCAUAUUUCUAAGAGUCCAUUGUGCUCCCUACUGGCAGAACGGAACUCAAUUAAACUUGUGUCACUAUACCGUUACGGUAUAUGUUGGGAUUCAAAUA